AGAGUUUGAUCCUGGCUCAGAUUGAACGCUGGCGGCAUGCUUUACGCAUGCAAGUCGGACGGCAGCACAGAGAAGCUUGCUUCUUGGGUGGCGAGUGGCGAACGGGUGAGUAAUAUAUCGGAACGUACCGAGUAAUGGGGGAUAACUAAUCGAAAGAUUAGCUAAUACCGCAUAUUCUCUGAGGAGGAAAGCAGGGGACCUUCGGGCCUUGCGUUAUUCGAGCGGCCGAUAUCUGAUUAGCUAGUUGGUGGGGUAAAGGCCUACCAAGGCGACGAUCAGUAGCGGGUCUGAGAGGAUGAUCCGCCACACUGGGACUGAGACACGGCCCAGACUCCUACGGGAGGCAGCAGUGGGGAAUUUUGGACAAUGGGCGCAAGCCUGAUCCAGCCAUGCCGCGUGUCUGAAGAAGGCCUUCGGGUUGUAAAGGACUUUUGUCAGGGAAGAAAAGGCUGUUGCUAAUAUCGACAGCUGAUGACGGUACCUGAAGAAUAAGCACCGGCUAACUACGUGCCAGCAGCCGCGGUAAUACGUAGGGUGCGAGCGUUAAUCGGAAUUACUGGGCGUAAAGCGGGCGCAGACGGUUACUUAAGCAGGAUGUGAAAUCCCCGGGCUCAACCUGGGAACUGCGUUCUGAACUGGGUGACUAGAGUGUGUCAGAGGGAGGUAGAAUUCCACGUGUAGCAGUGAAAUGCGUAGAGAUGUGGAGGAAUACCGAUGGCGAAGGCAGCCUCCUGGGAUAACACUGACGUUCAUGCUCGAAAGCGUGGGUAGCAAACAGGAUUACAUACCCUGGUAGUCCACGCCCUAAA
rnacentral:rRNA from 1 species